rnacentral:rRNA from 1 species
GGCGAACGCUGGCGGCGUGCUUAACACAUGCAAGUCGAACGGUAAGGCCCUUCGGGGUACACGAGUGGCGAACGGGUGAGUAACACGUGGGUGAUCUGCCCUGCACUUCGGGAUAAGCCUGGGAAACUGGGUCUAAUAUCGGAUAGGACCCUGGGAUGCAUGUCCUGGGGUGGAAAGCUUUGGCGGUGUGGGAUGGGCCCGCGGCCUAUCAGCUUGUUGGUGGGGUGAUGGCCUACCAAGGCGACGACGGGUAGCCGGCCUGAGAGGGUGACCGGCCACACUGGGACUGAGAUACGGCCCAGACUCCUACGGGAGGCAGCAGUGGGGAAUAUUGCACAAUGGGCGCAAGCCUGAUGCAGCGACGCCGCGUGAGGGAUGACGGCCUUCGGGUUGUAAACCUCUUUCAGCACCGACGAAGCGCAAGUGACGGUAGGUGCAGAAGAAGGACCGGCCAACUACGUGCCAGCCGCCGCGGUAA